rnacentral:lncRNA from 1 species
UUCGGGAAGCUUCCGGAUGAGUGCAGGCCGGGCUGCUGUCCUGCAGAGGGAGCUCCAGUGGGGGGAGAGUAGUAGGGAGAAGGACAAGGCAGUGGAGGCGGUAAGCGGAUGCGGCGAAGACGGGGGGGUGUUGUGGGUUUCCCUGAACUACUGCGAGGCUGCAGGAAAUUGUAUCCAGUACAGGAUUGAAUCUUAUUCAGCAGGGGUUCAGUGUGAGAAGAGCGUGUACGGCAGUAAGGAAGGGUAUUGGCUAACACGCGUAGUGUCGUUGGAGUAUUGGAACGGGAUUCGGUUAGAAGAUGGUUGUGCGAUAACGGUCUCUAAGAAGUUACGGAGCUGUACGGGGGUAUUGUUAUCAAAUGGAAGGCUCUACGGGCCCUUGCGGUUAUCCUGCCUUAUUGCGGCAUGCUCGUAACCGUACUGCAAGGUAUGUCCGUAUCUUGCCGUACGCACGAGUAUUUUACCUCUGCACAGACCACCUCGAGACAUGUACCGCAGCCCGACAGCGGCCGCCGCGUGGCGAGAGGGGAAUCCGGGGAAAUACCCACAACGUACGGCGAGCUCAGAGGGCCGUAACCGCAAGAGUUGUUGCUGAGCGUUAUGGCCUGUACGACAAAGCAUACCAGACGAACAGGAAUGAAUAACAAAAUCUUUUACGUAUGGACAAUUUGUUGCACUGGAGGAUGCUUGAUGGGGGGUGGCCGGGGCCGCGGCAGCGCUGAUUUUUUUGUUGAAGGUUCAAUAACUUUUUGUAAACUUAAAUUCCUCAAUCGUGAGGCGGCGCUAGGAGAGCCUCCGCCACCAGCACCUCCCGCUCCUCUCCGGGAAAUGACUACACUGCACCGGAACAUGCUAUCUGCAGGAAAGUUAAACGUAGCUGCUCCGCCGUCCAGGCCGCACUCUGUCUGAGCUAAGCUAGCCCUGUAGUCAUCGACAAACCCCAAGAAAACCCCACAAUAUUUAAUAUAUAAUAAUCCAGGCUCAUGGCCCGGCGCACUCCGCCCUGCUUGGUUUUGUCAGAAAUACCCUAAACACCUUCCCGGCUUCCGGUAAUGGUCUUUUCAGGACCAUUCUACCCACAAGUGCGGUCCCGCGUUUUGGCAUCUGGCCGACUGGAGUGGCUCAAGGAAUCAGUUUCUAUCGGUAAAUCCAUUCUUUUUUACAACGGGGCCGAACCCCUCUCCCCUCUCCCCGGUCGAUUGCAUUCCUUUAAAGAAAUUUACGUAUCUUUUACAACGAAUUGGGUCACGGCCACAGCGACCAGACAUGCAGCCCCAAAGAUUUCUUUGCCAUCCUGGGAAAUAGCGAGUUCAGGAUAUUUGUGUGGUCGGCCGUACGACACCAUCCUUGUACCGACAAUGCCCAAAUACUCACACUCACCUCUCCACUGUCACCGAAACGGAAGCCUCGAGCAGUAACAGGUACUGAGAAG